CUCGUUGGUCUUCUGCUGCAGUGCAUCCCGGUAUGUCUCUGUGUGCAUGUCCUGACCGUGUCCACUCUCCCAAGGUCUGCCUGCCACCGUCACCCCACGCGCCUCUUCUGCGCGUCCUCACGGGCUCCGUAUAGAGACAUACAUCGCUCUUGCCGUGCUGCUCAGCGGAUUCACUGCUAGCAUCGCGUUUCUCUGCUGUUCAUCCCCGGCAGCGGUGAUCCGUGGACGGGCAUCGAUAUUAGGCACACAGGCACACGCACGCACGAGCACACGGACGCACCCACCAACCCUCUCUCGCUGUCAUCAUGGAUGUCCCGCUGCCGCUGCGGCAGUUUACGAUGGUGCCAGGGCAGAAUAUCGACCCUCUGUUUCUGUGCCCGCUCUGCCACGACUCCUGGGCAGAUCCGGUGGAGUUGGUGCCGUGCGGCGACAUUUUCUGCAAGCGGUGCAUCGGCGCCGCCCGCGCGCAGCACGCGGCGCAGCCGAUGAUCAUGCAGAACUUUCAGUGCCCGCUGUGCCAAACUGUCUUGCAGAGCGAGAAGAAGCCCAACCGUAUGCUGCUGAACUCAGUGCUGAUGAUCGAGGUGGAGUGUCGGUACUGCCACUGGCGAGGGACGCGAGAGUCUUCAGAGCAGCAGCACACGUGCACGGGGGUGGACGGCGCCGUGAAGUCGAACCACCACUCCACCGGGCUGUCAGACGUGGCCUUCUCGACAGCAUCGACGCCGGCUGAGGGAAUGCCGACUCGAGAAGGCGGCGCACAGGCGUCCCCGUCGCCGCCGGCCUCGUCGCCCGCCGUCCGCAACGGUCCGCGCCGGGCGCAGCGCGAGAUUGAGGAUGGCUACAUCCCCAUCGGCGACGACCCGUCGUCGGCGACGCUGCGAGCGAGCGGCAUGUCACCAUUGAGAGACAGCGUCGAUCCCUCGCACAACUGUGUUCCUGCUGAGGCGGUAUCGGUGAACAGCUCGUGUAUGGCCACGUCUCCGCUGCAGACGCCACAUACGGGUCCCACGAAUGACAGCGCGUCGCAUACUUGCAUGUCGACCAGCGCCUCGCCGUCCCACGCCCAAGAGCUGUGGCGGCGCUACGGGCUCUCGCAGAUCGAGUACGACCAACUCGUCGGAGUCUUCAUGAUGUUCGACGGCGGCGCCGGCCGUCUGAGCGCUGGGCAGCUGCGAGACUUGUGUUUCUGCAUGAACUUUGUGCAGCGCGAGGACGACGUUGGCGUUAUCUUCGCCAGCAUGGAUCACGCGUGCAAGGGGUACGUCUCCCAGGACGACUUUCUGCGUUGGCUCAGCACGCAUCCGCCAGACCCAUCGGCGCUGUUCGGUCUUAGCCGGUACGAGUACACCGACGCCCUCUUGCAAUUUCGAACCGCCGACCCCGAGUACAACGGCGUCAUCGACGCAAGCGGCUUCCGCUACCUAUGCUUGCGGCACGGGUACGCGCAGACGCCUGAGCAGGCGAUGCGGCACCUCCGGCUGUGCGAUGAGCAGCAUACCGGGUACGUUAGCCUUCGGCAGUUCUUGCAGACUCUGAAGUCUAUAAAGACGGGUCAUGAAGGGGACCUCUCGACGCCGCCGCCAGCGAUCUCCAUCACGGUUUCCAGCAGCUCGCACUCAGGAUCCGGUCGACCACAACCCGUGGCUGCGCCAGGCUCUUCUUCUCCGGUGCACCUUUCUAGGAGGGCUUGCGCGAGCAUCGGAGGCGGCGGGGCGUCCAGCUUCUCGGGCUCUAGCGAGUCCGCCUCGCUGCAGGUGAGCGAGUGCUUCUUCAGCGAUACAGCGCAGGCAUCGCUGCACCCGUACACACAGCUGCACGCCCAGCAUUACGGAGCCUCCAGCUAUACCUCUCUGGCGCAGCCUCCCAUGUCACCAUUAAGAGCGCCCUCUCAAUGGCAGCAACGGCAACAGCAGCGCUUCGUGAACAGCGGCGGCGGCACCGUAGGCGGCGUCGCGGCGUCGCCUGUUAUUGGUCAGCAACGGCCAGAAGCAAGCCCAACCGCGAAGGCUGCGCCGGCCUCACGGCUGCACCGACAGAACGGGCGUGGCAGCCGCGGUGAUGAAGAAUGCGUGGUGAUGUAGCGGCACUUGGACGCCCACCCAUCACAGAAUAAGCGAGGAUUUGCCCCUCCCUCCCUCCCUCCCCCUCCCUCUCCCCUUCCCGCGCACACACACACACACACUUGUGAAUGGCACGGCCCGCUGACCUCGACGGCCGCGAAUUGUGUAUGUGCAGCAGUUUUACCCGCCCACAUCACCGCCCGGCUGUGCCUGUAUGCGAAGAGGCAGAGAGGAUCGCCUAAUAGGAGUCGCCUCCAAGCGAUGGACAGGCCGCCUCACAGCGGCGUUUGUGGAAGGCAGAAGGACUGUUGUGAUGUCCGCCGUGCGUGUGCAUGCGUGUGGUUGACUGUACUGCUUCUCUCGGUGGUUUGCAGGUGCUCUGCUUUUCCCUUGUUCGCUGCAUAUUGCCCUCUUAUUGGAGGAGGGAGGGGGGAGACUUCACCAGCGUGCAUACACACGUGUGCGCGUUGUGUGUUGUGUGUGUGUGUGUGUGUGUGUGUGUGUGUGUGUUCGCGUGUGCGUGCGUCUGUGGGUGUGGAUGGAGGGGGGGGGCAAAGAAACACUUCACGGUCGUUGUUUGCGCUUGGCAUGUGGUGGUGGCGCGGCGGCGUGCAGCGUCGUUGAACGUCGUCGCCGGUGAUGGGCGAGGCGUUUGGCGGGAGGGAGAUGUAUAUGACUCGAUAUGGGCUGCCCCGUCCUUCUUCCU
rnacentral:misc_RNA from 1 species